GGCCAUUUCAGCCAGCCUCUGUUCCUUUGGAGCCCACCUGGACCAUGGAGUUCAUUGUCAGUGUCACCAUCAUCCACCUGUGCUCUGAGUCCGCCGUCUCUGACCAGGGAAGGAGGAGCACCCUGGCAGGUGCAGAGCGAGAAGGAGGGGCGUUAACGCCAGGUCAAGCCUCCUGCCGUGGAGACGGAGUAAACUAGUCCACGGCCUUUCAGCAGGACGGUUACAAGGCAAGCCACACUUGGAGAGGGGGGCUUUGAUCUGCCUUCCAGAUUAUGUCCUGACUGUUUAAG
rnacentral:lncRNA from 1 species